GCUUUCCAUACAGCUGAAAUUUAAAAACUUAACAUUAAUCUUACAAUUUUCAUCAAACUGAUAAUAAUUAAGCAUUUUGAGUUGCUUUUAAAUUGUGAUCACAUCGUUGUGCAUACUCGAGAUAAGUUACAAAACUUGUAUUCGUCUUAACUCAAUUCUAACACCACGUUAAGUUCAACAAAAACGAGCAAAAUAUUUAAAAAAUAUAUAUGAUUUCUAUUGACAGUGAAUGAGUUAUAUAUAUAUAUAUAUAUAUAUACACACAUAAAGAAGUACAGAGAUGAAAUUGAAGUCUCUAGAGAAAGUGUUCCAAAACAAAUGUUUGUAUCCCUAUAUAAAUCAUUCUGUAUCAAUAUUUACUACUUGUAUACUACAUCCAUAUCGUAUAUGUUUUCAACAAAUUGUGCUGAAUGUUAAGGUAUCAAUCGAAUUACAGCGACACAUAUUCCUAAGUUUUCAUCGCAAAUCCGUAUGAUGACUCGAUUGGAGAGCAUCACACCCGUCUUGCAGAAUUGCGAAACAUUUGAUUUCCAACAAUGUCUCUCGGAGGAAGACGCUGGCGUUCGGGGAAAUUGAUGUGUCGGAUCAUUUGUGGUGACAUGCUUCCUCAACAAAUCGGGUCAUUUCCGACUGCUGUAGGUAUUCCCAAUCAAAUUCCAAUCCAGAAGUGAGUACCCUCCGUCGCCUUCUCCACCAUCGCCCAUCUCGCAGCUCCUCAGACUUCCUCCUCUUGAACUGUGUUCCAACACUACUACAUGCACCCUGUUUGCAAUUCUCGGUGAUUCCGACGCUCCUCGCUUUCUCUCCCUCUCUCGCGAAUACUGAACAAUCUUCGGCUCACUUUCUCCAGCGUGAGGCAAUGCUCAGUCGGGUAGAAAUUGCUGCGGCUCUGUUACUGAAACCAAAAGAAUCGCCACUGAAUUUAUACGAGAAGGGUCAGAUUUUUAAAAAUAUUUUUUUCGGAAUUGAGUGGAGUUUUCUGCGUUGAACGAAAACUGCCCCACUCAUAAACUUCCCCAAUUCAAAUUUUCCUGUGUCGGCAGCGAGUUGCG
rnacentral:lncRNA from 1 species